UUGGAGGGCAAGUCUGGUGCCAGCAGCCGCGGUAAUUCCAGCUCCAAUAGCGUAUAUUAAAGUUGUUGCAGUUAAAAAGCUCGUAGUUGAAUUUCGGGAUCAAUGUUUCGGUCAUGCCGUUGGUAUGUACUGAUAUUAUUGAUUUCUCACCUUCUAAAGAACCGUAAUGCCAUUAAUUUGGUGUCACGGGGAAUUAGGACUGUUACCUUGAAAAAAUUAGAGUGUUUAAAGCAGGCUCACGCUUGAAUACAUUAGCAUGGAAUAAUGAAAUAGGACAUCCGAUUCUAUUUUGUUGGUUUCUAGGAUCGAUGUAAUGAUUAAUAGGGGUAGUUGGGGGCAUUAGUAUUCAAUUGUCAGAGGUGAAAUUCUUGGAUUUAUUGAAGACUAACUACUGCGAAAGCAUUUGCCAAGGAUGUUUUCAUUAAUCAAGAACGAAAGUUAGGGGAUCGAAGACGAUCAGAUACCGUCGUAGUCUUAACCAUAAACUAUGCCGACUAGGGAUCGGAUGAUGUUAAUUUUUUAAUGACUCAUUCGGCGCCUUACGGGAAAC
rnacentral:rRNA from 1 species